rnacentral:rRNA from 1 species
UUGCUUCUUUGCUGACGAGUGGCGGACGGGUGAGUAAUGUCUGGGAAACUGCCUGAUGGAGGGGGAUAACUACUGGAAACGGUAGCUAAUACCGCAUAACGUCGCAAGACCAAAGAGGGGGACCUUCGGGCCUCUUGCCAUCGGAUGUGCCCAGAUGGGAUUAGCUAGUAGGUGGGUAACGGCUCACCUAGGCGACGAUCCCUAGCUGGUCUGAGAGGAUGACCAGCCACACUGGAACUGAGACACGGUCCAGACUCCUACGGGAGGCAGCAGUGGGGAAUAUUGCACAAUGGGCGCAAGCCUGAUGCAGCCAUGCCGCGUGUAUGAAGAAGGCCUUCGGGUUGUAAAGUACUUUCAGCGGGGAGGAAGGGAGUAAAGUUAAUACCUUUGCUCAUUGACGUUACCCGCAGAAGAAGCACCGGCUAACUCCGUGCCAGCAGCCGCGGUAAUACGGAGGGUGCAAGCGUUAAUCGGAAUUACUGGGCGUAAAGCGCACGCAGGCGGUUUGUUAAGUCAGAUGUGAAAUCCCCCGGGCUCAACCUGGGAACUGCAUCUGAUACUGGCAAGCUUGAGUCUCGUAGAGGGGGGUAGAA